GCUACUAUAGCUGAGUUGGUAUGAUGUGUCUGGAAAAGGCCUGAGUGUGGAACCUACCACCAUGAGGUCUUGGGUUCAAUUCCUGCUGGUGGCA